rnacentral:rRNA from 1 species
GACGAACGCUGGCGGCGUGCUUAACACAUGCAAGUCGAACGGAAAGGCCCUGCUUUGGUGGGGUGCUCGAGUGGCGAACGGGUGAGUAACAAGUGAGUAACCUGCCCUUGACUUUGGGAUAACUUCAGGAAACUGGGGCUAAUACCGGAUAGGAGCUCCUGCUGCAUGGUGGGGGUGGGAAAGUUUCGGCGGUUGGGGAUGGACUCGCGGCUUAUCAGCUUGUUGGUGGGGUAGUGGCUUACCAAGGCUUUGACGGGUAGCCGGCCUGAGAGGGUGACCGGCCACAUUGGGACUGAGAUACGGCCCAGACUCCUACGGGAGGCAGCAGUGGGGAAUAUUGCACAAUGGGCGGAAGCCUGAUGCAGCAACGCCGCGUGCGGGAUGACGGCCUUCGGGUUGUAAACCGCUUUCGCCUGUGACGAAGCGUGAGUGACGGUAAUGGGUAAAGAAGCACCGGCUAACUACGUG